GGUCUCCCAGGGAAGUGUUCAGGACUCAAGUACUUGGACCAGCACCUGCCAGGGUGCAUAUUAGCAGGAAGCUGGAUCAAAAACAGAGCUUGGACUUGGAAGAAACCACUGGGAUGCUGAUGUCCAAGUGUAGGCUUAAUGUGCUGCACCACCGUGGCCUCUUUGGAUGUGGGUUUUUAUAUGGAUUUCUCCCAUUUUUGACAGGAAAAGGGAAAAGAGCUCUACCAAAGCCAAUUAGGUCUAAAAGUCUGAUUAUAAGUAAAAUGGUGAUUUCUUUUUUUUGCAUUUCGAAAUUAGACAAAUGUUUUCCCCAUUUCUUGCGGCGGGGUUGAGGGGAGGGUAUUCAGCUUUUAUCGCCAGAAGUGGUUGUGCAAUGCUGGAGCCCUGUGGUUCAGAGUGUUCUGUAGAAUCCGAGAAAUCCUGGAGGACUUGGUCUUAUGGAAUGGUUUGCUUCUUGCCAUCCUCUCGGUUGCCCUCCAAAUGACCUUGAGGAUUUGUGAGAUGAGUUCUGACCCAGGGUCUGGGGAGGGAUGAAUGUGCAUGAAUACGGCAUGAACUGGAGAAUACUAGAUUUGUUACCCAGUGAGAGCAUCAGGGGACUGGGCCAGCCUGGGCAAAUCUGCGCCACCUCCUGUUCUUGUAAAUAGGUUCUAUCUGGAUGUAGCCACACCCUUUCACUUAUACAUCACCAUGGUUACUUGCAGCUACUUGGGCAGAGUUGCACACCCUAAUUGCCUGAAAUAUUUGCCAUCUGAACUUCUACAGAAAAAUCUUGCCAUUGUGGUCUACAGUAAGUAUGUGAUGGACACCUGGAAAGCCUGGUUCUCUGAAUAAAGCAGUCAUUCUGGAAAUCAGAUACUGAUUACAAAAAUCUUUUGAGAUACAGCUGAACUUCAUCUUGUUGGAUCAUCAUGUCAUGGGUUCGGUGGCUUAUUCAGCAUUGCUCAGGGAAAAGAAUUCCUCCUCUGUUUCUCCUCAUUCAAGGAAGAAGCCUGAGUGAGUGAAUAGUGAGUCUCUCUUCUAAAGGUCUUCUUCUAACUGUAAGAGAGCCAACAGCAAUGACAAGCAAAAGCAAGAGCGCUCUUGAAAAUGAGAUGUUUCAGAGCAAUUACAAAGAGCAGAGGAAUGAAAUCAUCUUUUCUUUGAAUUGUUGGAUUACAAAAAUUGCCAUCUGUUCUACGUCCUUCUCUUUGUAAAAGAUGAGUCAACCAUUCCGAUACCUCAGUAAGACAACCCAGUGACUUUGCUUAAUCUAGAAUUCUUUAUGAGGACUGAAGUGUUACCCAGAGCCAAAAGGAGCAAAAAUCAAUGCAGAAUGGAUAAGAUCUGAAACCACAAGCCUCCGAGAAGACGUAGAGGAGGAAGAGCUCCUGGACAUUUGCCUUGGCAAUGAUGGCUUUGGAUACCAUGCCAAAAGUCCUGGCUGCAAAAGCAGAUAAAGUGUAAGACCACAUCAAGCUCAGAAGCUUCUGCCCAGCAAAGAGAUCCAAGAACGUGAAAAGGCAACCUACUGUCAGCAAAGAAAGAUUCACAAAGCAUGGAUCUGAUAAGGGACUAAUACCUAGCACAUAAACAAAGUCUUCCCACUCAGUAGCAGAAAACCAAAUAAGUCAUACUCCAAAUUAAGAAAUGGGAAAAGGAUCUAAACAGACAAAAAAAUGACCAGCACAUAUUGGGAAAAGUGCUCAGCACCACUUGAGAUUGCCAGGGCAAUGUCACCUCAGCUUUUAGGAUGGUUCUUAUCCAAACAAUAAGAGACGGCAAGUGUUGACAAUGAGCAAAGGGAAGACUGGAACACCGCGGAUGGGAAUGGGCAGCCAUCGGGGAAAACAGUGUGGAGGUUCCUACAGAAAUUAAAAACAGAACCACUAGGACAGGCCUUUGGGCCAAAUGACUAAAAUGUCACCAUCCCCUCUCAGAGCACUGGGGUUCAAUUUCUGGCUUCCUGAAAAUGUGCACCCUGGGAAGUAGCAGUGGUGGCUCAAGUUGCUGGGUUCCUGCCAGCCACUUGGGAGGUUUGGAUUGAGGUCUUGGCUGCUGGUUUUGAUCUGACCCAGCCCCAACUAUUGAGGUGAACCAGCUUCCUCUCAAAGUAAGUAAA